GAUCACACCACUGCACUCCAGCCUGAGCGACAAAAGCAAACUCUGCCUCAAAAAAGUUAUUAUAGCAGCCUCAGGAAACUACGUAGGAAACAUGUGCUAUGCCUUAGGCACUAUAUUUAAGAGUUUUAUAAAUGUUAACUCAUUCAAUCCCCAUAACAACACUAUAAACCAGGCACUAUUAUCCCUGUGGAAGAAAGGGAAGGACACAAAGAUUAAGUAGCUUGCCCAAUGUCAUAAAGCAUGUAAAUGAGGGAGCUCAGAUCUGAUACAGGUACUCUGAUUCUAGAGAUGGUGCUUGCAGCCAGUGUGCACCCCUGACAAUCAAGGUCUGGGGGAGAGGGGUCCAACAGGUGCUCAGAGACGACGUGAUGCAAACCCUGGUGUCACCAAACUGAUUGAUCCAUUAUUUGCCCCAUGCUCAGCUCCAGACAGAAAUUACUUUCUGAACCCGCAAUUCAGAAUAUAUGUUCCAGCAGAGAAAUCAACUAUUCAAGAAAUAAUCUGGCAAAGAGGAGCAUCACUGGCUGAUUGACAAACACCCACAAAGUGAUGUCUACCUAUCAUGCACUGGGAAAUGCCUGCAGGCUCUUGCUCUUAGGCCCAGUAGUACUAUUUCCAAAGCUAUCUGCUCAGUGGCAGUGGCCCAUUUACCUAUUACCCUACAUCUUUAUGAAUACAAGCUGGAAUAGGGCAGCUUUAGGGUUUUCCAAGGCUGUUAGCCCAACAGCUAAAAAAACCUUUCUUUUCAUUUAUUAUAAAUUCUAAAGCCUUGUGAAAAAGAUUCUUUAUCCUAUUGUCACAAACAAGGUCAUAAAGCCACUGGGAUACAGGUGUUCUGAGUAUGAGAGGACAACGGCUCCUUGGCAGCAAAAAUGAAGGUCUAGAGGAAAAGCAAUUUACUUCUGCUUAUGGCACCCUGCAAAAACAAACAUCUCUCAGGAAAGCAAGAGGAAGAAACCAAGUUGGGACACUAUAAGAGACAGGAACAAAAUCUACCAAAAGUUGGAGUUAUCAGUGUGCUUGCUUCUUGAGGCCACAAGUCUUUCUGCUUCAGAACUGAACCUGCUACUGGGUAUGGCUUUCUAAUCUCAAAUAAAACUACCUUUAAUGUAAUAGCAAAUGUUGAACAAUAGAUUCAAUUGUAUGACAGGCAGCACAGAAGAUGAAUUACUACAACUACACAGAAAACAAAGUUAAAUAUAAUUACUCUGGGACACUAUGAAAUUCUUUUUUGCUGUUCUUUCUUCCUCAGUUUGUCAUAAAAUAUAACAAAUUUUUCUAAACUUACUAUUUGUGAGGAUAGCCCAUUAUCUCUAUCUUGAAAUUCCACCCAGAACUUCACCAUUUCUCUUCACUUCCACGGCUGACACCCUGGUCCAAGCCACCAUAUCUCACGUGCAUUAACCUAACAGCCUCCACACCAAGUCUCCCUGAUUCUGACCUUGCUGCCUUAUAAUUUACUCUCUCUAACACAGUAGACAGAGUGAUCCCUGAUAAACUGUAAGGAAGAUCACUUCAGUCCUCAACUCAAGGUCCCGCAAUUAUUUCACAUUUCAGAGUAAAGCAAAAAGGCCUCUGGACUGCUUUCAAGAAUUUCUGUGAUUUGGUCACCAUGAUCUCUUUGACUUUAUGCUCCUAACUCCCUUGACUCAUUUAUGCUCCAGCCCACCCACCUACUCCCUUGUCUCUGAACAUGUCAGUCAUACUCCUGCCUCAGGGCCUCUGCACUGGCUGUUUCCAGCACCUAGAAGUGCUUGCCCAUCAACUGUCAAGUUUCUCAAUAAGGCCUAAUCUGAUGACACCACUCAAAACAGAAAUCCCUUCCCUGCCACUCCUAAUCCCCCCGACUCAGCCCAUAACAUACACACAAAGCUUGUAUGUAUACCUAUAUAUAUGCAGCAUAUAAUACCUUAUUACUUAUAAAACUUCCUUAAUUCACUCAUGGUUUCUAAUUAUUUGAAAUCCACCAAGGCAGAGAUCUUUGUUGGGUUUUAUCUACCACUGUAUCCUCAGUAGCUGUAUGCCUGGAGGACAGCAGAUGCUCAGUGAGUAUUUGGCAAAUGAACAAAUAAAUCAUUUUAUCUACCACAAAAACUAUCAAGGCAGGCUGACCCUCCAGUCUCCUAAGCAAUCAUUCUUUUCAUAUUUCAAGAGCUGGGCCUUUCUUACAAAUCAUUAUCAAUCCUCCUCCUCCAGGAAUCUUACCUUGAUAAUCUGAGCUGACCAUGACCUCCCCUUUCUCUGAAUUUUCAUAGCCCCAUCAUCUCAUAGUAUUUGGUUUCUUUGAGUCAAUGUCUCAUCCAUCCUUUAACUUCCUUAAGUACAGGGUCUGGGUUUCUCACAGUUCCGAGUUCCCUAAUAGUCCCUCUUUUCUGAAGGUACACAAUUUCUUUCUUUUCUUUU
rnacentral:lncRNA from 1 species